UACGAAGGGUGCAAACGUUGCUCGGAAUCAUUGGGCGUAAAGCGCACGUAGGCGGCCCGAUAAGUCGGAUGUGAAAUCCCUCGGCUCAACCGAGGACGUGCAUUCGAAACUGUCGGGCUCGAGUAUGGAAGAGGGUCGCGGAAUUCCCGGUGUAGAGGUGAAAUUCGUAGGAUAUCGGGAGGAACACCAGUGGCGAAGGCGGCGACCUGGGCCAAUACGUGACGCUGAGGUGCGAAAGCGUGGGGAGCGAACAGG
rnacentral:rRNA from 1 species